rnacentral:rRNA from 1 species
UUGGCGGUGUUUUAGACUUCUCAGGGGGAACCUGUCUCAUAAUCGACAAUCCACGUUAUACCUAACCUUACUUUGCUUUUUCAGUUUGUAUACCGUCGUCGUCAGGUAACUUUUAAAAAUUUAGAAGUUAGCAAGAAAACUAUAUAAGCUUUUACGUCAGAUCAAGGUGCAGCUUAUACUAGGGUGAAAAUGGGUUACAAUUAUAAAAUUAUAAAUACGAAAUAGUUGUAAUAAUAUACAAUUAAUUAU